GCCACCUGACUACAUCUUGGAACCCCUAGGCUGGUGCCAGCAGCGUUGCUAAAAAGAGCAGCAAUAAUUCUUGCGGAGAAAAUCUCCUUUGCCUGUACCCCCAGCUGGACCGGAGAUAUGUGACAGGACAUCAUUCAGCACUCGGGACCCCAUGCUUCAUCCUUUUCCACCCAGGACCUUCUGGCAGAGAGGUGGAGCCUCAGAAUGUUAAUGCCUCAUGUUUUCUAUGAAGGAUAGUAGAAUUCGCCACUGCUUUGACCUUUCUGAUGUGCUGCACUUCGAUUGGGUCUGGAAGUUGAUGAUUAAUGAUAAUUACAAUAAUUACACCAUGGGACUCUGUUCAAAGGGAGCCACUUGAAACAUUUAAUAGAAUCUUGAACAAUCUCUGUCCCAAUGUUCCUGUUUCUCUUCCUGCACCUCCAUCACACAUUCCUGGAUCUUUGUAAAAUACAGAAGAUAUUGUCAUGAACUAUAGUCUCUCAAUUAUACCAUAUACAUAUAUUAGUUGAAGAAAGAAUGAAAGAACAAAAGAAAGA